GACGGAGGGUGCUAGCGUUGUUCGGAAUCACUGGGCGUAAAGGGCGCGUAGGCGGCCUUGCAAGUCGGUUGGUGAAAGCCCGGGGCUCAACCCCGGAGGUGCGGCCGAGACUGCAGGGCUGGAGGCCGGAAGAGGAGGGUGGAAUACCCAGUGUAGAGGUGAAAUGCGCAGAUAUCGGGAGGAACACCAAUUGCGAAGGCAGCUCGCUGGGACGUCACUGACGCUGAGACGCGAAAGCGUGGGGAGCAAACAGG
rnacentral:rRNA from 1 species